GAAAAAAUUUGGUGGACGGUGUGAGCGAUAAUAUUCUGUUAGCAUAUUUCCAAGAUUUGUCGCAGAAAUAUUCACCAAACACAUUAUGGUCGAAACUAUCGAUGUUAAGAUCAAUGCUACAUUUGAAGGAAAAAACUGAUGUCAAAUUAUUCGAUGAAGUCGAAGCAUUUGUUAAGAA